rnacentral:rRNA from 1 species
UACAGAGGGUGCGAGCGUUAAUCGGAAUUACUGGGCGUAAAGCGCGCGUAGGCGGCUUUGCAAGUCGGGUGUGAAAUCCCCAGGCUUAACCUGGGAACUGCAUUUGUGACUGCACGGCUAGAGUGCGGCAGAGGGGGAUGGAAUUCCGCGUGUAGCAGUGAAAUGCGUAGAUAUGCGGAGGAACACCGAUGGCGAAGGCAAUCCCCUGGGCCUGCACUGACGCUCAUGCACGAAAGCGUGGGGAGCAAACAGG